CCCUCUGGUUGAGGUCCUGGUGUCUGCAGGGUUUGGAAAGAUCUGGUUGGCUGCUGAAGUGUUGCUGUGCUGUUGGAGUGGGAAGCUCUCCUGUUUUACACCUGCAAGCCAAGCCCUCUUGCACUCCUGUUUGGUCAGCAAAGAAGUGAGGCGUGUUGUUGGAACUGGGGAAACCAGGCCUAGUCAAUUCAACCCCACGACUGUGUUUUGAUAUAUGAAUAAAUCUACAAAUGUUUAUGCUUGUCUUGUUUGUUUCUUGGAGGUAGUAAAUCAGACUUGUUGAAUUUGGCCAUUUUUAAUGAACCAUGUGGUUUUCUGAUUUCAAUACUGAACAGUGUGAUAUUUCCUGUCAUCUCAUUAUGUAGUUAUUCUAGGUUUGACUGAUUUCUCACUGGCUAUAGAAAGUUGACUAAUUUUAAGCCAAAUUGUUAUUUGAAUUGAUGUGAGCAGCAUGUUUAGUCAUGUAGAAGGCUUUGACACAAUGGGGUAGAUAAUAUAUGGAAUAAAUUCAGUUUUACGCUGCUACCAGUUCCUAGGCCGUUAUUGAAAAUAAGAGUUUGUUAACGGGCUUGCCUCGUAAAAUAGAGUAACAGUAGCAUGCAAAACAUAAAUCAGAGGGAUUACAUGGAUUACACAAAGAAAUGAGAAGAGAACUGAUCCGCAUUCUUUCAAAUAGACAUUUAGUUUUGUAUACAUUGCCAAGACGAAAUAGUUUUCCAAAUUUGAUUUUUUUUAAAUUAAGUAAUGGGACUUUAUAUUCAAAUGUUGAUUUGUGUAUGAAAUGUUUUCCUAAUAAAGAGAUGACAUGCGUUAAA